rnacentral:rRNA from 1 species
UGGCGAACGGGUGAGUAACACGUGAGUAACCUGCCCCUGACUCUGGGAUAAGCGUUGGAAACGACGUCUAAUACUGGAUAUGACUACUGGUCGCAUGGCCUGGUGGUGGAAAGAUUUUUUGGUUGGGGAUGGACUCGCGGCCUAUCAGCUUGUUGGUGAGGUAAUGGCUCACCAAGGCGACGACGGGUAGCCGGCCUGAGAGGGUGACCGGCCACACUGGGACUGAGACACGGCCCAGACUCCUACGGGAGGCAGCAGUGGGGAAUAUUGCACAAUGGGCGAAAGCCUGAUGCAGCAACGCCGCGUGAGGGAUGACGGCCUUCGGGUUGUAAACCUCUUUUAGUAGGGAAGAAGCGAAAGUGACGGUACCUGCAGAAAAAGCACCGGCUAACUACGUGCCAGCAGCCGCGGUAAUACGUAGGGUGCAAGCGUUGUCCGGAAUUAUUGGGCGUAAAGAGCUCGUAGGCGGUUUGUCGCGUCUGCUGUGAAAUCCCGAGGCUCAACCUCGGGCUUGCAGUGGGUACGGGCAGACUAGAGUGCGGUAGGGGAGAUUGGAAUUCCUGGUGUAGCGGUGGAAUGCGCAGAUAUCAGGAGGAACACCGAUGGCGAAGGCAGAUCUCUGGGCCGUAACUGACGCUGAGGAGCGAAAGCGUGGGGAGCGAA